GGGGGAAUACCAAAGCGGCCAACUGGGACGGACUGUAAAUCCGUUGUCUUAUGACUUCGCAGGUUCGAAUCCUGCUUCCCCCACAA
rnacentral:tRNA from 1 species